CGAGGGGUUUGUUUACUGGCGUUGCUAUGGUUACCGGUCUUGCGCGUUCCAACGGUUUAGCGGUGGUAUCUAAUAAAUCGCUGUCUGAUCAAUACUUCAUUCACUGCCUCUUCCGUGGUCAUUACGAUAUUAUGGACCGACUGCGUCCUGUUCUCCGCCGUCCCUCGCUCUUCCACAACAGACUCACCGUCACCCUGGAUAGAGGGGAGAGAGAACUUACUGGAUGAACUCGGUGAGGGUUUUAUCCAAGUUAUUAAAUCAAUCGUGUCAUUAACAUUCAUUUCAAAAACACCCUCUGCUUCUGUGAUUCAUAUUGUGGUCUACUAAGGUCAGGUUUCUAUCGUCGUCUAUUAAGGUCAUGCUUCUAUGUGGUCUGUUAAGGUCAGGUCUCAGGGUUGUGUGUCCGUAACGAAGACCGUAAGAUAAGCAGUUCUCUGUUUGUUCAGGAUGUUCUUUUACAUUCAACAGAUGAAUUGACACUUCAGGGCUGGAUGCUUCACGACAAGAAUCUCUACCGUGUUUCUACUACGAAGAAGGGCUGGAGGGCCAGUAGAGAAGACUGUCAGAAGAGAAAGGCAGACCUGGUGGUCAUCAACAGCAGAGAAGAACUGGUGUGUGUGUGUGUGUGUGUGUGUGUGUGUGUGUGUGUGUGUGUGUGUGUACUUUGUGGUCAUGACAACAGAUGCUAUUACCUUUGGAAACAGGCGUUUGUCAGCAGAUUGAUGGGUUCUUCCUGGAUUGGACUGAGUGAUCGAGAGAAGGAGGGGACCCACAAGUGGGUGGAUGGUACCCCCAUGACCUCAAGUUGGAGACACGUUAAACCACGCGAUGACGGCG